CGAACGCUGGCGGCGUGCUUAACACAUGCAAGUCGCACGGUGAAGGGACCAGCUUGCUGGUUCUGGAUGAGUGGCGAACGGGUGAGUAACACGUGAGUAACCUGCCCCCUUCUUCUGGAUAACCGCAUGAAAGUGUGGCUAAUACGGGAUAUUCUGGGUCUGUCGCAUGGCGGGCCCGGGAAAGAUAUUGCUUCGGUGGGGGAUGGGCUCGCGGCCUAUCAGCUUGUUGGUGGGGUGAUGGCCUACCAAGGCGGUGACGGGUAGCCGGCCUGAGAGGGUGGACGGUCACACUGGGACUGAGACACGGCCCAGACUCCUACGGGAGGCAGCAGUGGGGAAUAUUGCACAAUGGGCGCAAGCCUGAUGCAGCGACGCCGCGUGAGGGAUGGAGGCCUUCGGGGUGUAAACCUCUUUCGCCAGUGAAGCAGGCCUGCUCCGUGUGGGUGGGUUGACGGUAGCUGGAGAAGAAGCGCCGGCUAACUACGUG
rnacentral:rRNA from 1 species